rnacentral:rRNA from 1 species
GACGAACGCUGGCGGCGUGCUUAACACAUGCAAGUCGAACGGAAAGGCCCUGCUUUUGUGGGGUGCUCGAGUGGCGAACGGGUGAGUAACACGUGAGUAACCUGCCCUUGACUUUGGGAUAACUUCAGGAAACUGGGGCUAAUACCGGAUAGGAGCUCCUGCUGCAUGGUGGGGGUUGGAAAGUUUCGGCGGUUGGGGAUGGACUCGCGGCUUAUCAGCUUGUUGGUGGGGUAGUGGCUUACCAAGGCUUUGACGGGUAGCCGGCCUGAGAGGGUGACCGGCCACAGGGGAAGUGAGACACGGGCCAGAGGCCUGCGGGAGGGAGCAGUGGGGAAUAUGGGAGAAUGGGGGCGAGGCUGAGCGAGAGAGACGGGGUGGGUGAAGAAGGCGUUCGGGGUGUAAAGCCCUUUGGUUGGGGAAGAAAAGCAGGAGGUUAAUACGACGCUGUGGUGACGGUACCCAAAGAAUAAGCAGCGGCUAACUUCGUG